rnacentral:rRNA from 1 species
GCUACGGGUGGCAGCAGUGAGGAAUAUUGGUCAAUGGGCGUAAGGCUGAACCAGCCAAGUAGCGUGAGGGAUGACUGCCCUAUGGGUUGUAAACCUCUUUUAUGCGGGGAUAAAGGUGUACACGUGUGGCUGUUUGCAGGUACCGCAUGAAUAAGGAUCGGCUAAUUCCGUGCCAGCAGCCGCGGUAAUACGGAAGGUCCGGGCGUUAUCCGGAUUUAUUGGGUUUAAAGGGUGCGUAGGCCGGUAUUUAAGUGGGCGGUGAAAUUUUGUGGCUCAACCAUGGAAGUGCGGCGCGAACUGGGGACCUUGAGUGUGCGUAAGGCAGGCGGAAUGCGUGGUGUAGCGGUGAAAUGCUUAGAUAUCACGAAGAACCCCGAUUGCGAAGGCAGCCUGCCGCGGCGUUACUGACGCUGAAGCUCGAAAGCGCGUGUAUCGAACAGGAUUAGAUACCCGUGUAGUC